rnacentral:rRNA from 1 species
CGAACGCUGGCGGCGUGCUUAACACAUGCAAGUCGAAUGCGAAUCGGUGUUUCGGCAUCGUAGUAGCAUGGCAGACGGGUGAGGAGCGCGUAUCUGACCUGACACUCGAAGGGGGAUAGUCCUGCGAAAGUGGGCAUAAUACCGCGUACGCUCGUGAGGGUAGAGCUUCACGAGGAGAGGUGGCCUCUGCAUGCAUGCUGCUGUCGAGUGAGGGGGAUGCGUCCUAUUAGCUAGUUGGUGGGGUAAUGGCCUACCAAGGCGGCGAUGGGUCGCUGGUCUGAGAGGAUGAUCAGCCACACUGGGACUGAGACACGGCCCAGACUCCUACGGGAGGCAGCAGUGGGGAAUUUUGCGCAAUGGGCGAGAGCCUGACGCAGCAACGCCGCGUGAGUGACGACGCCUUUCGGGGUGUAAAGCUCUGUCAGUGGGGACGAAGGGCCUUGUGGUAAAGAGCCACAGGGGAUGACGGUACCUGCGAAGGAAGCCCCGGCUAACUCC